GGGCUGCAGUCGAGAAUCUUUUGCAAUGGGCGCAAGCCCGACAAUGCGACGCCGCGUGAGCGAUUAAGGCCUUCGGGUUGUAAAGCUCUGUUUGCCUGGAAUAAAUCCAGCGGUCGAAUAGGCCAAAGGGAUGAAGGUACAGGCAGAGGAAGCCACGGCUAACUCCGUGCCAGCAGCCGCGGUAAUACGGAGGUGGCAAGCGUUGUUCGGAUUUAUUGGGUGUAAAGGGCAUGUAGGUGGUUAUGUAAGUCGAGCGUGAAAUCCUUUGGCUUAACCAAAGAACUGCACUUGAAACUGCAUAACUUGAGUUCGGGAGAGGAGAGCGGAAUUCCCGGUGUAAGAGUGAAAUCUGUAGAUAUCGGGAGGAACACCAGUGGCGUAGGCGGCUCUCUGGACCGACACUGACACUGAAAUGCGAAAGCUAGGGGAGCAAACAGGAUUAGAUACCCUAGUAGUC
rnacentral:rRNA from 1 species